rfam:Achromobacter piechaudii ATCC 43553 genomic scaffold SCAFFOLD1, whole genome shotgun sequence.
GUACGUCUUCAGGGCGGGGUGCAAUUCCCCACCGGCGGUAUGCCAUGCAAUGUGGCGAGCCCGCGAGCGCCCGGCGUCCAGUACGGACAUCGGGGUCAGCAGAUCUGGUGAGAUGCCAGAGCCGACGGUCAUAGUCCGGAUGAGAGAAGAUGUGC